AGUAGCCGAAAAUGGUUGUGGGGUUCAAAGUUGGAUCGUAAAUUACCCGCACAUUCUGAAUGACUGGAUCGUAUAAUCCACCAUAUGCCAUUGCUUUUGCUACAAGCAACAAAGCACCAAAUCCCAACAAUACGAGAUGGAUACCCAGGAUAGUUGUCAUUUUGCCUGGAUCAUCCCA
rnacentral:antisense_RNA from 20 species